rnacentral:rRNA from 1 species
CUGCCCGGUAGCUAAAUGCGGAAGAGAUAAGUGCUGAAAGCAUCUAAGCACGAAACUUGCCCCGAGAUGAGUUCUCCCUGACUCCUUGAGAGUCCUGAAGGAACGUUGAAGACGACGACGUUGAUAGGCCGGGUGUGUAAGCGCAGCGAUGCGUUGAGCUAACCGGUACUAAUGAACCGUGAGGCUUAACCUUACAACGCCGAAG